rnacentral:rRNA from 1 species
AUUGAACGCUGGCGGCAGGCUUAACACAUGCAAGUCGAGCGGGGGAAGGUAGCUUGCUACCGGACCUAGCGGCGGACGGGUGAGUAAUGCUUAGGAAUCUGCCUAUUAGUGGGGGACAACAUCCCGAAAGGGAUGCUACUACCGCAUACGUCCUACGGGAGAAAGCAGGGGAUCUUCGGACCUUGCGCUAAUAGAUGAGCCUAAGUCGGAUUAGCUAGUUGGUGGGGUAAAGGCCUACCAAGGCGACGAUCUGUAGCGGGUCUGAGAGGAUGAUCCGCCACACUGGGACUGAGACACGGCCCAGACUCCUACGGGAGGCAGCAGUGGGGAAUAUUGGACAAUGGGGGGAACCCUGAUCCAGCCAUGCCGCGUGUGUGAAGAAGGCCUUAUGGUUGUAAAGCACUUUAAGCGAGGAGGAGGCUACUUUAGUUAAUACCUAGAGAUAGUGGACGUUACUCGCAGAAUAAGCACCGGCUAACUCUGUGCCAGCAGCCGCCGUAA